rnacentral:rRNA from 1 species
GUGGGGAAUUUUGGACAAUGGGGGCAACCCUGAUCCAGCAAUGCCGCGCGCAGGAAGAAGGCCUUCGGGUUGUAAACUGCUUUUGUACGGAACGAAAAGGCUCUGGUUAAUACCUGGGGCACAUGACGGUACCGUAAGAAUAAGCACCGGCUAACUACGUGCCAGCAGCCGCGGUAAUACGUAGGGUGCAAGCGUUAAUCGGAAUUACUGGGCGUAAAGCGUGCGCAGGCGGUGCUGUAAGACAGGCGUGAAAUCACCGGGCUUAACCUGGGAAUGGCGCUUGUGACUGCAGUGCUGGAGUGUGGCAGAGGGGGAUGGAAUUCCGCGUGUAGCAGUGAAAUGCGUAGAUAUGCGGAGGAACACCGAUGGCGAAGGCAAUCCCCUGGGCCUGCACUGACGCUCAUGCACGAAAGCGUGGGGAGCAAACAGGAUUAGAAACCCCUGUAGUCC